rnacentral:lncRNA from 1 species
CCAGCCUGGCAUCGAACUCGGGUCUGUAGUGACGCCUCAAGCAAUGUGAUUCAGUGCAUUAGACCGCUGCGCCACUCGGGAGAGUCAACGUUGGCUUUAGAUCACAAUAUUGAUCAGUUCUGAGAGAGAAUGGCUGAGUGUAUGGUCAGGGUAAUAUGAUAUAGGCCUACAGUAUAUGCUGCUGUCAUAAUCUCCAAUGGAUAGUGCUGCACUUUGCUUUUAUUUGCUCUCAGCUACAGGACAGCACACACAGGGCUUCAGGAAGACAGCAAGUCAUUUCUUCUCAGACCAGCCACUCUUUGGCAGUUUGAGUGCAUUUGUCAAGAAUGUGCUUCUCCUGGUUCCAUGUGUAGGUGAAUUCCUCACUUUCACUGCUAUUGAGAGCUGUCCUCAUGGCCCUCAUCUUACAUGUGCCCAUCAACCUCAUCUACUAGCAAUUAGCCUCCACUUGGCUCCACAGGGAGGCUGUGCUGAAGAGCCACAUAGCCUCCACUUGGCUCCACAGGGAGGCUGUGCUGAAGAGACAUAUAGCCUCCACUUGGCUCCACAGGGAGCCUGUGCUGAAGAGACACAUAGCCUCCACUUGGCUCCACAGGGAGGCUGUGCUGAAGAGACAUAUAGCCUCCACUUGGCUCCACAGGGAGGCUGUGCUGAAGAGACACAUAGUCUCCACUUGGCUCCACAGGGAGGCUGUGCUGAAGAGACAUAUAGCCUCCACUUGGCUCCACAGGGAGGCUGUGCUGAAGAGACACAUAGCCUCCACUUGGCUCCACAGGGAGGCUGUGCUGAAGAGACACAUAGUCUCCACUUGGCUCCACAGGGAGGCUGUGCUGAAGAGACAUAUAGCCUCCACUUGGCUCCACAGGGAGGCUGUGCUGAAGAGACACAUAGCCUCCACUUGACUCCACAGGGAGGCUGUGCUGAAGAGACAUAUAGCCCCCACUUGGCUCAACAGGGAGGCUGUGCUGAAGAGACACAUUUACAUUUAACAUUUGAGUCAUUUAGCUGACGCUCUUAUCCAGAGCACCUUACAGGAGCAAUCAGGGUUAAGUGCCUUGCUAAAGGGCACAUCAACAGAUCUUUCACUGGAAUUCGAACCAGUGACUUUUCGGUUACUGGCCCAACACGCUUAACCACUAGACAUGUGCCCGCACUCAGAGAGUUCCCAGACCACUCAGAGAGUUCCCAGACCACUCAGAGAGCUCCCAGACCACUCAGAGAGUUCCCAGACCACUCAGAGAGCUCCCAGACCACAGAGAGUUCCCAGACCACUCAGAGAGUUCCAGACCACAGAGAGUUCCAGACCACUCAGAGAGUUCCAGACCACUCAGAGAGUUCCAGUCAGAGAGUUCCAGACCACUCAGAGAGCUCCCAGACCACUCAGAGAGCUCCCAGACCACUCAGAGAGCUCCCAGACCACUCAGAGAGCUCCCAGACCACUCAGAGAGCUCCCAGACCACUCAGAGAGUUCCCAGACCACUCAGAGAGCUCCCAGACCACAGAGAGUUCCCAGACCACUCAGAGAGUUCCCAGACCACUCAGAGAGUUCCCAGACCACUCAGAGAGUUCCAGACCACAGAGAGUUCCAGACCACAGAGAGUUCCAGACCACUCAGAGAGUUCCAGACCACUCAGAGAGUUCCAGACCACUCAGAGAGUUCCAGACCACUCAGAGAGUUCCAGACCACUCAGAGAGUUCCAGACCACUCAGAGAGUUCCAGACCACAGAGAGUUCCAGACCACAGAGAGUUCCAGACCACACAGAGAGUUCCAGACCACUCAGAGAGUUCCCAGACCACUCAGAGAGUUCCCAGACCACUCAGAGAGUUCCAGACCACUCAGAGAGUUCCAGACCACUCAGAGAGUUCCAGACCACAGAGAGUUCCAGACCACAGAGAGUUCCAGACCACUCAGAGAGUUCCCAGACCACUCAGAGAGUUCCCAGACCACUCAGAGAGUUCCCAGACCACUCAGAGAGUUCCAGACCACAGAGAGUUCCAGACCACUCAGAGAGUUCCAGACCACUCAGAGAGUUCCAGACCACUCAGAGAGUUCCCAGACCACUCAGAGACUCCCAGACCACAGAGAGUUCCAGACCACUCAGAGAGCUCCCAUACCACUCAGAGAGCUCCCAGACCACAGAGAGUUCCAGACCACAGAGAGUUCCAGACCACAGAGAGUUCCAGACCACUCAGAGAGUUCCAGACCACUCAGAGAGUUCCAGACCACUCAGAGAGUUCCAGACCACUCAGAGAGUUCCAGACCACACAGAGAGUUCCAGACCACUCAGAGAGUUCCCAGACCACUCAGAGAGUUCCCAGACCACUCAGAGAGCUCCCAGACCACUCAGAGAGCUCCCAGACCACUCAGAGAUCUCCCAGAUGGGAGGGAGCCAGUGAGAGAGGAGGCUGGCCUGGUGGAGAGGGCGAGAUACUGUUUUAUCAGGAUGCAUGUUUUCUGUAUGUGCUCCACUUCAUCCCUGGUUACUUAACGAUAAUGAAUUAAGGAAAAGGCUAAUUGCCCUUCAAAUGUCCCUUUCCUGCUUAUAACAUUUUAACAUCAUACUUUUCAGUGUUGGUCCUUUAUACAUAAACCUGUCUGGUUGUUGGGUAUAUUGCAGAUUGCUUUUGAAUAUUAUCCGUAUGCAUCGAGUUGACUUUAUUUUUAUAUACAGAUGCUGACAUGCAAUAAUACUUCUGUGUUCCUGCAGAGUUGGUUACGCCAAGCUUACCUGUUCUCCGAAUAGCUCUUUUGUUUUAAGUGAUGCCAAUAAGAUGACAUAUCUUGAAACACCCUCUUCAGCAAACUUCUCAUGUCAUCAAAUGACUCUUAGGUUAGGCUGAAGGGGAAAUUCAUGACAAGAACAAGUAACGAGCAAACUAGACACUCUGUGGUGGUUUCUCUUCUUCUUCUGUCAGAAAGGGGUCAUGUCAUGUGUGUCUACCACUCAAAGAUCUGAGGUCAGAAGAUAAUACGUUAUUUAUAGCAUUUUCUAUGUUGUGUAACUGUUGCUUUUAUCGAAGGCUUCUACACUCUAUAGGCCAGGUGCUGCAACUCCCUUUGUUUGUCAUGUUAAGAAAUCCAGAUGGUGUCGCUGUCUUUGGUGAACUUGUCUUGAUUACUGCACACAUUUCAGAAUCAGUGUUGUUCAGGAUCAAUUAGCCUAAUCUUCUAGCAAUUUGUUGCAGUGCUAUCUAGUUCAUUGUGGCUGGUUUUCAAUUGUGUGCUUGGAUUAGAAAAGACUAGUGUAUCGCAUGCAUCUGCAGAUGUAUCUCUUGGCACACAGCAGUCACCAUCAUGGCAAGUAUCAGUGUCAAUAUGGUAAAUGAGCAUUUAGGAUUACAUUCGGCACACUGCAAACUCCUAGGUUUAUAAGGAAGAAUUUAUUGUAGAUUAAACCGUAGUUUCACUGACAAGGGCAGUUAGUCCUUUCAUAUAGGCUAGUAAAUUGACCAGUUGUCUUCCCUAAUGUCUACAUUGGUCCAACUCCAAUCUGUGGUCAAGAUUGUAAUCUAGUGUGGAUUGUUCCAACUCGUUAGCAGCCAUGCAGCUGUUCACAUUUACGUCUGGUGUCUGCCAAUGUAUAAAUCAGGGAAACAAAGACGCAAUAAUCAAUGUUUUAACAAUCAGCCGUUACAUUAAGUGAAAUGAUUCAACCAUUUAGAGACAUGGAAACAUCCUCCUCGUGUCAGCAAUAUUUGCAUUUAAUGUUAUUGGAGAUGUUUAAUAGCUAACUGGUGCCUAUGUCAUUAUUCUUAGACAUGGGGCUUUUGCAGCUGUGACUAGGCUGUAAUUGAAGAACCGUAUGCCUAACUGAGUACGAAAAUAUAGCCAAAAAGAAGGAGAAAAAGAAUCUAGAAUCUAAUAAUACAAGAUUUCUGAUGGUCAGAGGUACAAUAUUGUGAUGGGAUAUUACAAGUCACAAGGGUAAAUUCCUUUGGAUGCUUUGUAUGGAAUUCUUUCUAUAGGCCUUGUUGUGGUGCACAGAUCAUGUGAGGUGGUUCAAGGUGAGUAUGAGAGGAUAGGGAUGUUCUGUUGAAGCUUCUGUGUAAAUGAAAUGGCCUCUCUGUGGGUUUGACCAGAAAGGUGGUAUUUCUGGAGUCUAAUAUCUUAAAGCCCUUGUAAUUAGAAAUGAAAAUCCUCAAAUAAAGGUCUUUAGUCUCUGGCAGUUCUGUCAGGCCGGGGCUCUGGCUCUGUACACACCGAUAUUGUCACAAGGUUAUUGGGAAUAUAGUCCAUUGCAAACAGACCAAAUGUCACCAGUAUGUUCUGACUAGAAAAGCAAUAACGGAGUUAGGUGAAUGUCCAUCUUAGUCUUGCUUACCACACUGACUAGAUUUAUGUUUUUCGCCACAGCACAUAGAAGCCGAAGCCAUGGUAUUUCAUAGUCUUCUAGGCACAAUAUAAAGGCAAGGCUCCAGGCUGGCCUCUCGUCAUCAACUCUGACCCAUGGUGGAAUGUAAAGGGAGCUGGGUUGUAUUGUUAGUCAUGUGGGGUACGGAUGUUCUGCUGUGUGGCUUCACACUGGGUUAAGCACAGCACCUUCGUUCCCCAGGACUGGGAGAAAUUGGUAUUAAUUAGAGAGCCUUUCUCCUUGCCCAUAAACUGGAACCAUGUUUCAGGAAAUUGGAAAAGUGAGAAAGCAGCAUUGAUUUUUAUGGUCGGAAUAAAAGAGUCCAUUUGUUGAAUCCAUGUGCAGAAUGAAACAAAACCUGCUAUUGUUAUUUUUCCCCAUUAGGUAUCAAAUCAAAUCAAAAGUUAUUUGUCACAUGGACCGAAUACAAGAAGUUUAGACCUUACUGUGAAAUGCUUACUUACAAGCCCUUAACCAACAAUGCAUUUCAAGAAAUGGAGUUAAGAAAAUACUUACUAAAUAAACUAAAGUAAAAAAUAAAAUAAAAAGUAACACAAUAAAAUUGCAUAACAGUAACGAGGCUAUAUACAGGGGGUACCGGUACCGAGUCAAUGUG